rnacentral:rRNA from 1 species
GCCGAACCGUGCGAACGUUAUUCGGAAUCACUGGGCUUAAAGCGCGUGUAGGCGGAUUUGGCGCGUCGAGAGCUGAAAGCCCCCGGCUCAACCGGGGAAUUGGCAUCGAAACGGCCAGUCUUGAGGGAGGUAGGGGGAGCCGGAACUUCCGGUGGAGCGGUGAAAUGCGUUGAGAUCGGAAGGAACGCCCGUGGCGAAAGCGGGCUCCUGGACCUUACCUGACGCUGAGACGCGAAAGCUAGGGGAGAGAACGGG